CACAAUAGGCUUGUUAUAUUAAAAAUAUAAAUCAGACAAUACAUAAAAAAAUACUAUGAAAAUUUCAACGGAUGUCAAGGAGGAUAGGUACUGGUAGGUAGGAUGGGGCACUGGAUUAUAUUUUUGGCUAAUUUAGGAUCAGACUUAAACAUACUCUUUUCGGAGAUCUUUGGUCCUAAUACCGUUUAUAGCAGCCUGUGUAAAGAUUGAUUGGGAUACUCGCAGAGUACAAUUUGGGAUCGAGAUUCGAGAGUGGAAGCUUGAGAGGAUUCAAUGAGUAAUAUAAAGAUUCAAAAUUUCGGAAAGUCUGCAAAUAAUUAAUGCCAACUUUAUUAUUGGGAUCAAAAUUGGCACAUGGAUUUACUGAAGCUUACACAUUCAAGAUCUUAUGUUCAGCUGUGUGUCAUCUAUUCAAGCCUAGACCAUCCGGAUAAAUCAAAUGGAUUCCCACACGCGAACGGACAUAACUCCCACCUUCGUGAUAGCCUCUCACACGCGCUGGACAAAACCCACCAGGCAGAUGCCAUCGCGGACGGCGCAUUAAUCGAAUGCGUAAAUUCGUCGAGAUCGCUGAUAAACCGGCUGCUGGGUAGCUCCAAAGGCGACCCAAGAUGCUAUCCAAAGCUCAUUGAAACAAUUAAAUGGCGCGCGCGUUUGCGUCGCUUCUAAUGAUGAUGGGUCCCUAGCCCCAGCCCCAUCGCCAGGUCGAACUCAAGCUAAGACAACCCGGCUCUAUAGAUAAGGCAUUAAAAAGCAAUUAUGACGACAAAUCUGUAAACAUACGGCAAUCGUUUUAAUGGCGGACUUAACGCAACAUUUAGAAGGUAAUAAAAACAAGGCGGGCGCCAGAGGCCCAGUCAAUGUUGCAUU